rnacentral:rRNA from 1 species
UACAGAGGUCCCAAGCGUUGUUCGGAUUCACUGGGCGUAAAGGGUGCGUAGGUGGCCGUGUAAGUCUGAUGUGAAAGCUUCGAGCUUAACUCGAAAAUGGCAUUGGAUACUAUAUUGCUGGAGGUUUGGAGGGGGGACUGGAAUUCUCGGUGUAGCAGUGAAAUGCGUAGAUAUCGAGAGGAACACCGGUGGCGAAGGCGAGUCCCUGGACAACACCUGACACUGAGGCACGAAAGCUAGGGGAGCAAACAGG